rfam:Schistosoma mansoni strain Puerto Rico chromosome 1, complete genome
AUCCAUCUGACGAGUCCCAAAUAGGACGAAAUCCGCGUCCUAGAU